CGUAGGUGGCAAGCGUUAUCCGGAUUUACUGGGCGUAAAGGGUGUGCAGGCGGGGUAGCAAGUGGUGUAUGAAAUCUCCCGGCUUAACCGGGAGGGGUUAUGCCAGACUGCUGCUCUAGAGGACGAGAGAGGGGGGUGGAAUUCCGGGUGUAGUGGUGAAAUGCGUAGAGAUCCGGAGGAACCCCAGAGGCGAAGGCGGCCCCCUGGCUCGUACCUGACGCUCAGCCACGAAAGCAUGGGGAGCGAACGGGAUUAGAAACCCCGGUAGUCCAUGCCGUAAACGAUGCAAACUAGGCGCUGACGGUCUCAACCCCGCCGGUGCCGCAGCUAACGCGAUAAGUUUGCCGCCUGGGGAGUACGGUCGCAAGGCUA
rnacentral:rRNA from 1 species